GACGAACGCUGGCGGCGUGCUUAACACAUGCAAGUCGAACGGAAAGGCCCUGUCUUUGUGGGGUGCUCGAGUGGCGAACGGGUGAGUAACACGUGAGUAACCUGCCCUUGACUUUGGGAUAACUUCAGGAAACUGGGGCUAAUACCGGAUAGGAGCUCCUGCUGAAUGGUGGGGGUUGGAAAGUUUCGGUGGUUGGGGAUGGACUCGCGGCUUAUCAGCUUGUUGGUGGGGUAGUGGCUUACCAAGGCUUUGACGGGUAGCCGGCCUGGGAGGGUGACCGGCCACAUUGGGACUGAGAUACGGCCCGGACUCGUACGGGAGGCAGCAGUGGGGAAGAUUGCACAAUGGGCGGAAGCCUGAUGCAGCAACGCCGCGUGCGGGAUGACGGCCUUCGGUUUGUAAACCGCUUUCGCCUGUGACGAAGCGUGAGUGACGGUAAUAGGUAAAGAAGCACCGGCUAACUACGUG
rnacentral:rRNA from 1 species